GGCCUCCCGCGGGCUCCCGCGGCGGCCCCGCCUCGGCCGGGCCCCCUGCUCGAGGGCAGCCACCUCUGGGGGCGGGGGAGAGCGGGAGAAGGAGCACCAGCAGCACAACUCCUGCAAGUUAAACAAAAAAAAGAAAAAACAGGCUCGUCCGCGGGACAGCGCCGAGGCUCGGCAUCCCGCCAGGCGCUCCCGUCCCCCGCCAGAUCCACCUCGCCGGCGGUCCCGCCGCGGUGAUGGGAGGAAGCCUGGCCGAGGCCGCCAAGUCUUGCACGCUCUAAGUCGCCUUGGCGCUGCGGCUGGAAGAUGCUCCGCGCGGCAGGACCGCGUUGCUGCUGACGAGCCCCCGCGGAGUGGAAGAUGCCUUGCUUUGGGAUUACGCGUGGAGAAAGGCCAUCAGUCAAGGGGAGAGCUGGCUGGUGAACCUCUCUGACUUUCCCCCCCUCCGGGGAAGUGGCUUCAAUGGCUCCAUCUCCCAGGAGAAGCAGUAGGAAAGAUGCCAACGCCUUGCCAAGCAUGUCCUCAACUUUCUGGGCUAUCAUGAUCCUGGCUAGUCUCCUAAUCGCUUACUGCAAUUAUAACAGCUAUUUUGGAGCGGAUAACCCUCAAUGGCUGUAUAUGAGACAUUGCCCGAGGUGCUUCCAAGAUGCUUUUGAGCUGGGUCAACUGGCUGCAGGUACAUGUGAGAUUGUUACUUUGGACAGAGAUAGCAGUCAGCCCCGAAGGACUAUAGCCCGACAAACAGCUCGCUGUGCAUGUAAAAAAGGACAGAUUGCCGGUACAACAAGAGCAAGGCCAGCCUGUGUCGAUGCACGAAUUAUCAAAACAAAACAGUGGUGUGAAAUGCUUCCAUGUUUAGAAGGAGAAGGCUGUGAUUUGCUAAUCAAUAAAUCAGGCUGGACCUGCACACAACCAGGGGGACGGAUAAAGACAACCACGCCUGUCUGAGGCCAUGUGGUUUGGAGAUCUGAUCACUAGUCCGAAAAGGAAAGGCUGUUUGCAAGAUUUCUGGGGUGUUUUUUCCUGGAAAAGGUCUCCUGACAAAUGCAGCAACACAAAAUCCUCGUAGGAGUGGUUUAGGCUCUGUGUGAGCUACUUAACUUAGUCAAGUUUCACUGCUGUGGAUCAUCAUCCGUUAUAUGUCAUCAGCUCAACUGUCUGUUUCUCUGUAUCUCAUCAAAGACAGCAUAAUUCCUCUACAUUAUGAGCUAAAGUUUGUUCUGCCAUACUAAGGAUCACUGGACUAAGGAAUAUAGAUAAAAGAUACGCUUGGGCAUUAGCAAUACAAAAAAAUUCAUGGUUAACGUUUCAUCUACGUUAUACACCACUGCUGGACUUGAUGUUACUUACUUGUUUUAAUCUGAAGAGUCUGCUACAAUGAAGAGUAUCAUCCCAAUCAGCCUUAGAGAAGACUGUUUUGCCUAUGGGAGGACACUGAGGUGCAAAAGAGAAACUCUUCUUGUGCCCUAAACUGUCUGAAUUGCUUUUAUUUUCUUAUACUUUCAGUAUAUACAAUAGACCAAAGAGCAAAAUCUAUUUUAAAGUAGACACAAUCUUACUGUUAACAGUGAUGUCGUUAAAUUGUAGGGGGUCUCCACAAAGAGACACGAGUCCGGCUUUCACAAAGCUGAGAUGUUGUUGUCCAGCAGAACUCUUUCUGGAAAGCUGCAGUAAAAACUAACCCAGAGACCUGCUCUUGAAAUGCCGCAUUCUAGAGAACAUAAUGGAGCAUCGAGAGAAAACGACCAAUGUUUGAAAAACUGAGACAAAAAGGACACAAACUGUCUACACAGCACCUUUAUUCCUCUGUACUUAGAUUGACUUUCUCAUACUAAAAUCAUUUUCAGUUUUAACCAGUUAAACAUGCCUCUUCUACAGUUCCAUUUUUGAUAGUUAAAGUUGGAUAAUACAGUCUUUGCAAAGAGCAUGUUUGGUCAUCUGUGGCCUGUCUCAUCUGAUACACCAUUUAGCACCAGAAAGCAAAUUAAAGAGAAAACAAAAGUAACACUUGUUUGAAAGAGAUCAUUAAAUGUAUUUUGAAAAGCCUAAAGUUAUAUAUUUAACAGUUUUUAUAUGUUGUAUAUUUGUAGAAAAUCCUAUUUAACAAUUAACGUGAUAACUCUGACGGUCAUGACAAGUGGUUCAGAGUUAAGUUGUGUUUUAUUACUUCAGUUGUCUCUGAAGUGACUGGUGUCGUUUGCUUUCUUCCAUUGGGACAUUCUGGAUGUAAAGCAUGACCAGAGAGGACUGUGUAGAAAAAGCAAAGAAUAAUGUUGUUUAUAUUACAUAAAUGCAUUCAACCAUUGCACUGUUGGAAGGCCUUUUUUAUUUUUAUUUUAUUUUUAUUUUUUGUCUUUAUGUACUGAUAAAAAUAGAGUGUAAAAUAUUUUAAUCAUUGCUCUUCAUAGCAAGUUUUUUUCCCUCUUUCUCUCUCUCUGUCUCUGUCUCUGUCUCUCUUUCUUUCUCUUUCUCUCCGCCUACUUUUACAUAAUACAGUAUAAGGGUCAGUUUGCAGCCUGUUCCUUGAUCCCCCUUUCAGUGUUUUACCUCACUGUUAGAAAGCCCACUCUUUCAGCAUUACUGAUUAGUGAAAAUUUUGCAAAGAUAGCAAAGACGAGGGGGGAAAUGAGGAUAAACAAACACAAACUAAACCUUGCUCCCUUUUACUGUACCUUUCUGUAUGUAAGUUUGGUACAUACUGGUAUGAUGCAAUCAACAAAUGAGCUUAAUUUCUUCCUGGCAAAUGUAUUCUGGUUUUAAGUAUACUACCUAAUAUUCCAAUUAACUUUUAGUAUUAUGCUAGUUCUAUUCUACUAAAGAAAAAUAUAUAGACAUUGUUCAAGUGACCAUAGAUGAAAGUACAAAAAUGAAAAAUUGACUAAAAAAAAAAAUUAAGGCCUGUUCCAAUACUGAGGCUUAUUUAAUGCAGAGUUGGCAGGAAACCUGAACUACAGAUGAUUUUGUCUUCAACUAAAAUAAAUAUAUACAAAAUUCUUAUUUAAGCUUAGGAUUUUGACCAGUGUCAAAGUAGCAAAUUAAAGCCCAGCCACUUGAAAAGUGUUAUGGACUGACUGCACUAUAAAUGACCAGUGUCAGGUUUAAAUGUCAUGCAAUAAAUGAUGUUAAAUACAUUUACUGUACUUGUAGACCUCAAGAGCCAGAUCCCUCACUCUACCAACUCUCUGUUUUGAUUUAUUUUAAAGGGAGUGUAGUAGCCUUAUUUAGUAAACACAGAACAAUUAAAGAUGUUACAUCAUUUUUGUUGCUUUUACAGUAUUCAGUUUUGUGUUGGUUCGGCUAAAUUAUAAAAAAUAAAGAAAACCCUUUUAUAAGUGA